rnacentral:lncRNA from 1 species
GCCCGCUCCGAGCAUGGGCUGCGCUGUGACCCCCCCGCGGCGGCUUGAAACGCUUCAAGGUGAUGCGAAGCAGCCURGAAAGAGGUUAUGCGGGUGCAGAGCAGGCCGGGGCAUUGCCACCCCUGGGCUCGCGGAGCGUGCGGGUUCCUUGCCUCGAGGUGGUACCUGACACCUUGAAUUACAGAACUGGCAGCACCGAAAGGAACUCACGAGUGGAAAUUCAUUCCAGGUGAUGCAAAAAAAAAGAAGAAGAAAAAAAAAAGCCUUGUGGCUUGGCAACGUGGCUUUCCCUCAAGCAUUUUGUGUUUUCAGGAAAUGUGAGAAUAGRGAAUGGUACUACCCUGCAUGUUAGAGGUGUGAGAGACUAGAAAAGAAUGAGAAGGGCCAACAGGGAUAAAAUAAAAUUCGGCUGUGUCAAAACCUCACUGGGGAAAGAUUGUAAAAUGGACUAGACACGGUUGAGUUCGAGCCUGAAAUGUUCCCCAAAGUGCAGCAGCCCCCAGAAAUAGAUUAAAAAAAAAUGCUACCAGCACGGAGUGAUGUCGAGAGGCAGCUUCUCACCUCGAGGUUCAAACCCCAAAGUCACUACUGUUGUCAGGGAUCAAACACUGYGGAAAGUCAUGGACAAAAAUAUUUCUUGCCUGAACUGUUGCGAUUUGGGUUUAAUAAGGAUUUAUGGUGUUACAGAUGAGCUGUUCAUAGGAAAUAACCUCCGAUUCCUCAUAACAGGCCCAUUCCUCAGGAUUUAAUCAUCAAACCAAGUUUGGUUUAGGUGAUGAGAGCRUCAAAGCGGUCUCAUUUGUAAGAGAAACCUUGGAUUUUAGAGGGCAAGAUUUGAUAAAUAAAUGGAGCUGCUUUGGGAGCUUAACGAAGGCCCUUGUGUGCAAGAGUCUCUGAAGCAGGACGCCCACGACCAAGCAUUUGUUUCCCCUGGGAAAAAGAAAAAGAGAAAGCAACCAUCGAGGAAAAAUGUCUUACCCUGCCCAUGGUUCUUGUGAGAGAGGUGGCUUCGAGGCGGCCUUCUGGUGAGACCCGCUUCCGGGGUGCUGCCGGGUGUCACCUGUGGGGCCCAGAGGAGCGCUCGCCUUCCGCGUCUUCCCGGGGAAUCUUUUAUCCAGGUACUUCGGGGUGAACGUUUUGGUCUCUCAGCAGAUAUCGCGGAAGCCGGGCCCAGCCCCGCGGCGCCCGGGCUCGGCGUCUCUCUGCCUCCAGCUUCCGGAGGAGGAUGCGGCUCUCCCGCCUCGCACCCAGCGCCGCUGUUUUCCCGCUUCACGGUACGAGGACACGCGGGCGGGCGCCCAGCAGCCUCGGUUUCCGCUCCACGCCACGACUCUGCGCUUACUCCUGCCCCGGUAGCGGCUGAACCGGGCCACGGGAGAGGGCUGCCUCUCCUCGGCCACCGCUCGGGAGAGUCGAGGCGACACA